AGUGAAUAGAUACCCAGGUAGUCCUAGCCGUAAACGAUACUCGCUAGGUGUCGGCCACGGUGCGACCGUUGUCGGUGCCGUAGGGAAAGCCGUGAAGCGAGCCACCUGGGAAGUACGGCCGCAAGGCUGAAACUUAAAGGAAUUGGCGGGGGAGCACCACAACGGGUGGAGCUUGCGGUUUAAAUUGGAUUCAACGCCGGAAAUCUUACCGGGACCGACAGCAACAUGAAGGCCAGGCUGAAGACUUUGCCGGAUUAGCUGAGAGGUGGUGCAUGGCCGUCGUCAGUUCGUACUGUGAAGCAUCCUGUUAAGUCAGGCAACGAGCGAGACCCACGCCCACAGUUGCCAGCGUACUCUCCGGAGUGACGGGUACACUGUGGGGACCGCCGCUGCUAAAGCGGAGGAAGGAAUGGGCAACGGUAGGUCAGUAUGCCCCGAAUAUCCCGGGCCACACGCGAGCUACAAUGGUUGGUACAAUGGGUAUCUACCCCGAAA
rnacentral:rRNA from 1 species